UACGAAGGGGGCUAGCGUUGCUCGGAAUCACUGGGCGUAAAGCGCACGUAGGCGGAUUGCUAAGUCGGGUGUGAAAUCUCGGAGCUUAACUCCGAAACUGCAUUCGAUACUGCCGUGCUUGAGGACUGGAGAGGAGACUGGAAUUUACGGUGUAGCGGUGAAAUGCGUAGAUAUCGUAAGGAAGACCAGUGGCGAAGGCGGGUCUCUGGACAGUUCCUGACACUGAGACACGAAGGCCAGGGGAGCAAACGGG
rnacentral:rRNA from 1 species